GUCAGGUGUCUGGUUCUUGGCCUAUAAAAGCCACUUCCUGUCUCUGUACCUUUGCCAGAUUAUUGUGGUUCCUGUACUCUCUAAUCAAGCUUGUUCCUGUUUCUCCUUCCUGUUGCUGAAUUUGGACUGUUUUGACUUUGCUGCUUCUCCUUCCCACUGACCUCGGCUUGCCUCACUACGAUUAUCAUCUUUCUGUUCCAGUCUCCCAUCUCUGCUUAAGACCAGAAGGC